UGGUCUCGAUCUUCUGACCUCGUGAUCCGCCUGUCUCGGCCUCCCAAAGUGCUGGGAUUACAGGCCUGAGCCACUGCGCCCAGCCAGUACCAGUAGUUUUUAUCAGUCAUAGUGAUGGCAGCGGUGGGCUGUCUGGAGCAGCUGCUGCCAUCACGCCGACUACAGCAGGGAGGCAUAGCUGGGACUGCACACUCCCUGGAGCUGGUGGGAGCCUGAGACAAGUGGAAGCCCCGUCUCUUCUAAGUUGGUGGGGCAGGAGCUCCCUGGGUGCAGCCACAACUGCCCAAACCAGGACUGCAGACCUGGGCCUCCUGGGCCAUGGAGUAGGCAGGGCUUCCCCCACCCAGGUGCAGCUGCAGUCCACACAAACCACUGCUGUGGACCCAGGUAUCCCUGCACUCUUGGGGGCCCAGGAAGGCUCCCCCCGCCCUAGCAGGCUCAGAUGUACCUGGUUUCUCCCUGCUGUUAGUGCCCACUUUGAUCCUGGAGCAAAGUUGGGGCCAAGCCUGGACACUGUCAAGGCCUGGCCAGGUGUGCACACAUUCAGUGCAAUGCUGACAUGCCAGUCCCCUGCUGCCUCAGCCGUCUCCAAACAUUGGGCACCAACAAGCAUAGGAGAGAAGCCAAUGGGGUGCAAAGGGCAACUCAGUGCUGGCCUGCAGGUUCCCCCUCGGCACCUACAGCUUGGCCACCAUGAAUGGCAGCAGGAGGCAAAUAGGUUCCUGGGUGGAAGAGGGUGAGGCCCUACCUUCAGGCCAGGGAGGACCUGGAGGCUAGGGACCAGGCUGCCAGUUCCAUGGACCAGAGUGGGAACUUGUGGUGCCUUUUCCAGACCCACCCAUGGCUGCCCAUGGACCAAUUGGCACACACUUCCUCCCUCUGAGGCUCAUAAAAACCCCAGGCUCAGCCAGAGCUGAGUAGAUGUCGGGAGAACCAGCUGCAGAGAGGAGAUACCCACUCCAGGGUCUCCUCUCUGCUGAGAGCUUCAGAAAACAAUGGGAUGACCUGCCUGCAGAAGAAGCAACCCACUCCAGGGCCUCCUCUGAGCUAUUCUAUCACUCAGUAAAGCUCUUCUUCACCUUACUCACCCUCCACUUGUCCACAUACCUUAUUCUUCCUGGAUGUGGGACAAGAACUUGGAACCUGCUGAAUGGCAGAUCUGAAAGGGCUAUAACACAAACAGAGCUGAACAUCGCCCCUUGUUGGACACAUUGCAGGUGAGGAGAAGGAGAGAAGAGCUAUAAUCCUUCAGCAAUCCCAGACCUGGGAGCUCCCUGAGCCAGGCUGUGACUCACUCUUUGGGACCCUGCAGUUCCUGGAGUCUCCAAGCUUCCAGGGACCACCAUGUCCCCCGGUGGCAGCCAUGGAAGCUGCUUGCAUUGCACCUGGUCCAGCUGCAGCCUCACAGAGAGCCUGUACCCAUGCUGGCACCUGGAGCUGCCCACCCUGCUGCAGCAGCCGGCGUGCCUGACUGUAAGCAGUGACCAGAUCCCACGCUCAUUCACUCACACACCCCUCACUGCUCCAUGCCUGGCUCGCCCUUGCCAGGCAUGGGAUCCAGGCUAGUAAUGUGAGCUGGCACCGCCUGCCAGGCCAAGUGGGCAGAAUGAGCCCAGAGGGUCCAAGCAAAACUCAGGCAAAAGGUGCCACUGGCCACAGAGGUUUCUGACCAGAAAAGCAACACCUCAGGGAUCCCAUAACAUUUUGGAGGGCUUGUCCAGGAUCUGCAGAAAGGAUUGAUUCAGCCCUCCUACCGGCCAUCUCAGGAGAAGCUGCAAGGGGCAAUUCCAGGGAAGCAAACCCCAGAAGUACCUCCAGCAGGAGAAUCAACCCCCUCUGCUCCUCCCUAUCCAGGUUCUCUCUCAAGCUUGCCCCAGCCUAGGAAUCCUCGUUUCAGGCAGGUCCCAGUCUCAACUGCCCCUACAACAGAUGCCUGGUGAAUAUGGCCCCAUUAAGGACACUUUGAUAUUCACAGACUGUCUUGUUUUGAUCCUCUUCAAAAGAUGGAUUAUAGUCCUUGAGUGCAGAUUUCUGAUAACUUUGAAGAUGGUGCACAGGAGUUGACUGGGUGGACUGAACUUAUGGAAGACUGAAGUAAUCUUUUUUUGACUUUUUGCUUGGAACACUGCUGAUCCUUUGUUUUGUUUUUCAGAAUCAUGAAAGCUUUUCUUUUGAGUUAUUUGUCGCUUUUGACAAUUGUGGGGAUGAACCAACCAGUGAUUUUUGACUGCAGAGAGUGAGCAGAAUGAGCCCAGUGGGUUUAAGCAAAACUCGGGCAAAAGAUGCCACCAGCCACAGAUGUUUCCGGCCAGAAAAGUGGCAUCCCAAGUAUCUCAUAACAGUAGUGGAUUUUGGAAAGAAAAGAGCCAAUUACAGGCUGAACACAAAGGAAGAUGUUUGCUCUGCAGGGAGUCACAGUGCAAAGCUCCUGGACUCCUCCUUCCAGCUAUAACAGAUAGCCUUUGUUAUUUAAAAAUGACUAAAUAUAAAUGAGGCUGAUGGACUGUGUUUCCCUUCUUUGGUCUCUGCUUAGCUACAUCAUAUAGAUAUGAUUGGAAGUUCUCAGUCAAAUCUCAAAAGAACAAAGAAAAGUAGUCAUUAAUCAAAACAACAGGGAAAAAAAGUGACCCCUGCAGCCACUUCCUCAGGCCAGGCCUAGAAGGGUGGCCUCUGCCCCCAAGUCCUGAGAAUGAGGUGGAAUCUGAGUUCUCCAAGUGGUAGCAACAAGGGACCUUCUCAAAUCCAAAUCUGCUCACACUCUCUUUUGCCAAAACCGUGAGGCCAGCCACAUGGGAAACCACAGAUGGAUCUCAGUACCAUGAAGAGAGGCGCCAGACAUCAUGCACUCAGGGUGGAACCAGGAGUGGGUGCCUGGUGCCAGAUGCUCAGCGCCAUCCAUGAAGUUGUCUUGCAAAAGAAGAAAGACAAAACUGGGAACCUGGGGCCAUGCCUCUGGAUCUCUCACUUUAUGGAGAGCGUGUGGGACAAGAGAACACACGAAAUGCAGGGGACUGAAACCAAAUUACCUGACUUCUUCGUGGAGGAAAGAACAAAGAGGGCGAGGAACCUGCAGACCCAAAGAGGCUUCAGGGCCAUGUCUACCAACUGUAAGGCGUGGGCCUGUUUGGGUCCUGAACUGGCCUGAAAUGAACAAACCAACCAGGAAACACUCACUUAGGAGGCAAUCAUGGAAAUGCAAAUACUGACUGGAUACCUCACAAUAUUAAUAAAUUACUGGAAUUUUUUCAGAUGUGGUUAUGGUUUUGAGCUUAUAUCUGAAAAAGAGCUCUUGCAGAGGUACAUACACAAAAAUUCAUAGAUGAAAUUAUGUGGUGUCUGGAAUUUGCUUUAAAAAAAUUCAGGUUUUUGUAGGGGGAGGGCAAGUGGAAUAAAUGAAAUAAUAUUGACCAUUUGCAGAUAAUUGCUGAAGCUCAAUGAUGGGCAUGUGGAGGUUCAUUAUCCUAUUAUUUUUACUUCUGGGAAUGUUUGAAAUUUUCCUCAAUAAGAAGUAAAACAAAUAAAUAAAUAAAAGAGCAUCCUGGUUCCCCAGCACUCUGUAUAAAGGCCACGCCUGUAAUGUGGGUGUGUCACUUUCUCCCUGCAGCUGUGCCAGCUCCCUCCAUGCACCUCUACUUCCUACUCUCUCGAAUUGCUGAGAGCUUCUGGGCAGCUCCCCCCACUGCCUUGUGCUUUCUCCCUUUAACCUUUAUUUAUUGUUAUCUUUCCAAUAGGCAAGCAUUCACAUGGCUCAGAACGCAGCACU